rnacentral:rRNA from 1 species
AGAGUUUGAUCAUGGCUCAGAUUGAACGCUGGCGGCAGGCCUAACACAUGCAAGUCGAGCGGUAGCACAGAGAGCUUGCUCUCGGGUGACGAGCGGCGGACGGGUGAGUAAUGUCUGGGAAACUGCCUGAUGGAGGGGGAUAACUACUGGAAACGGUAGCUAAUACCGCAUAACGUCGCAAGACCAAAGUGGGGGACCUUCGGGCCUCAUGCCAUCAGAUGUGCCCAGAUGGGAUUAGCUAGUAGGUGGGGUAACGGCUCACCUAGGCGACGAUCCCUAGCUGGUCUGAGAGGAUGACCAGCCACACUGGAACUGAGACACGGUCCAGACUCCUACGGGAGGCAGCAGUGGGGAAUAUUGCACAAUGGGCGCAAGCCUGAUGCAGCCAUGCCGCGUGUGUGAAGAAGGCCUUCGGGUUGUAAAGCACUUUCAGCGGGGAGGAAGGCGUUAAGGUUAAUAACCUUGGCGAUUGACGUUACCCGCAGAAGAAGCACCGGCUAACUCCGUGCCAGCAGCCGCGGUAAUACGGAGGGUGCAAGCGUUAAUCGGAAUUACUGGGCGUAAAGCGCACGCAGGCGGUCUGUCAAGUCGGAUGUGAAAUCCCCGGGCUUAACCUGGGAACUGCAUUCGAAACUGGCAGGCUAGAGUCUUGUAGAGGGGGGUAGAAUUCCAGGUGUAGCGGUGAAAUGCGUAGAGAUCUGGAGGAAUACCGGUGGCGAAGGCGGCCCCCUGGACAAAGACUGACGCUCAGGUGCGAAAGCGUGGGGAGCAAACAGGAUUAGAUACCCUGGUAGUCCACGCCGUAAACGAUGUCGAUUUGGAGGUUGUGCCCUUGAGGCGUGGCUUCCGGAGCUAACGCGUUAAAUCGACCGCCUGGGGAGUACGGCCGCAAGGUUAAAACUCAAAUGAAUUGACGGGGGCCCGCACAAGCGGUGGAGCAUGUGGUUUAAUUCGAUGCAACGCGAAGAACCUUACCUGGUCUUGACAUCCACAGAACUUUCCAGAGAUGGAUUGGUGCCUUCGGGAACUGUGAGACAGGUGCUGCAUGGCUGUCGUCAGCUCGUGUUGUGAAAUGUUGGGUUAAGUCCCGCAACGAGCGCAACCCUUAUCCUUUGUUGCCAGCGGUUAGGCCGGGAACUCAAAGGAGACUGCCAGUGAUAAACUGGAGGAAGGUGGGGAUGACGUCAAGUCAUCAUGGCCCUUACGACCAGGGCUACACACGUGCUACAAUGGCAUAUACAAAGAGAAGCGACCUCGCGAGAGCAAGCGGACCUCAUAAAGUAUGUCGUAGUCCGGAUUGGAGUCUGCAACUCGACUCCAUGAAGUCGGAAUCGCUAGUAAUCGUAGAUCAGAAUGCUACGGUGAAUACGUUCCCGGGCCUUGUACACACCGCCCGUCACACCAUGGGAGUGGGUUGCAAAAGAAGUAGGUAGCUUAACCUUCGGGAGGGCGCUUACCACUUUGUGAUUCAUGACUGGGGUGAAGUCGUAACAAGGUAACCGUAGGGGAACCUGCGGUUG